UUAAUGCUACAGUUAAGACAGAUGCUGGAGGAAAGACUGUGAUUCUAAAGGAGAUCCAUCAGCUGAGCUUAUAACUCGAGGCUGGGGCUGAAUGGAGUCCUUUCCUGCUCUUAGGACGUAACUGUUUUUUGUUUUUUUUUUUCCAUUUUUUAUUAGGUAUUUAGCUCAUUUACAUUUCCAAUGCUAUACCAAAAGUCCCCCAUACCCACCCACCCCCACUCCCCUGCCCACCCACUCCCCCUUUUUGGCCCUGGCGUUCCCCUGUACUGGGGCAUAUAAAGUUUGCAAGUCCAAUGGGCCUCUCUUUCCAGUGAUGGCCGACUAGGUGAUAUAUAUGCAGCUAGAGUCAAGAGCUCCGGGGUACUGGUUAGUUCAUAAUGUUGUUCCACCUAUAGGGUUGCAGAUCCCUUUAGCUCCUUAGGUACUUUCUCUAGCUCCUCCAUUGGGAGCCCUGUGAUCCAUCCAUUAGCUGACUGUGAGCAUCCACUUCUGUUUAAAAAGCUGCUGCAUUUACAAUUCAAGAGUACCAAGGGGGCUGGAGAGAUGGCUCAGCCGUUAAAGGCUAGGCUCACAACCAAAAAUAUAAGAGUACCAAGGUUCACCCCAAGCUGGGAACUAUUGUCCACAUGGCGUUAGCUUUAGAACAUGAAGGCAAGCCAUGGAGGAUCCUUCCUCUAACGUUUAAGAGAGAUGCGGAGAUCAGGAAGAUACCUAAAUGUCCUACCAAGCUAUGACAGGCCAUUGCAUGAUACCGUGAAAGUGAAGCCAGGCUAUGAAUGCAAAGGGGCACAGUAAAGAAUCUGCUAACAUGCCAACGUGAUCUAUGAGAUGGCUAAGGAAAAGUGUUCUCAUUUUGUUGGUAACUGAAGUCACACUAUUAUUGUAGGUCAGUAUUACUUUCCACGGAUUUUUGAAAUAAACAAUUAAGAAGUAUAAGGUAAGUUAGUAUAGUCUUUGAAAGUGAUUUGUUACCGUUCUUUGGUACUAGGUCCCCCCCCCCUUUUUAAAGAUUUUUAAAAAUUGGAUAUUUUAUUUACAUUUCAAAUGUUAUCCCCUUUCCCAGUUUCACCUCCGCAAGCCCCCUAUCCCAUCCUCCCUCCCCCUGCUUCUAUGAGGGUGUUCCUCUACCCAUCCACCCACUCCCACCUCAUCUACCUGGCAUUCCCCUACUCUGGGGCACUCGGUUGUCACUUGACCAAGGGCUUCUCCUCUCAGUCCAUCCUCUGCUACAUAUGCAGCUGGAGCCAUGAGUCCCUCCAUGUGUACUCAUGGUUGGCGGUUUAGCCCCUUGGGAGCUCAGGGGGUUCUGGUUGUUUGAUACUGUUGUUCUUCCUAUAUGGUUGUAAACCCCUUCAGCUCCUUCAGUCCUGUCGCGAUUUGUCUUGUCCGUAAAGUGUGGAGUAAACAAAUUCCUCAAAACCCAGCGGAGCAGAAAAGGUUCUAGUACUUUUAUUUAUUUAUAAACGUCAAAAAGCAAAUAAAUAGUAAAACGCACUCAUUCAUUCACACACACACUCUCAAUAACCUUACCAGUCUGGCAGGCGUAUCCUUAGCUCCCAGCGGCACGCAGCUAAGAAAAGACUCGUUGUGCCUUGCUUUGGAUCCCCUGGAACUGAGCUGCAGCCUGCAGGCUUUGCUGUCUAAGCAGGGAUGUCCUCGUGGGAUCCACGGAGUUUAUUUCUCAACUUGAAGUUUCUCUGGUGGGCGCUUGGGAGGUGAGCGAUUUUGCUGUGCCAGACUGGAGUUUCUAAGCUAAAUUCAACCAAUUACAACUAGGGCAUUGCACACAUUAUUUCAUGAGCUUCUUUGUCACUUGCACGGACACUUGCACUCUUUAUGGCCUUGUUUUCAUAGUUAGGGCCAAGGGCGCUAACUAGGGCCCUAAGUAGGGCCGAGGGCGGGUCCAUGGCGUAAUCCCACCGUGGGCUCAGGGAGGUGGACAUGACAUGAGUUCUUUAUCACUCUCUCCCACUAAUUCUACCAGCCGGUAUCUGCAGAAGUGGGCUUCGGGAGGCCAUGUGUUCUUUACAAGUCCUUUCUCUAACUCCUCCAUUGAGGUCCCUGUGGACAGUCCAAUGGUUGGCUGUGAGCAUCUGCAUCUGUAUUUGUCAGGCUCUGGCAGAGCCUCUCAGGAGACAGGUGUAUCAGGCUCCUGUCAGCAACCACUUCUUGGCAUCUGCAAUAGUGUCUGGGUUUGGUGUCUGUAUAUGGGGUACUAGGUCCUUCCUAUAUAUUCCUAAAUAUAUUUCAGCUUUUCAAUUUUAGAAUUAAUUUUACAAUUAAGAAUUAUUUGAAGGACAGUGUUAUAUAUGGCUACUAGCAAUUAGUUGGUGAGUCUCACAAAAAGAUUAUGUAAAACAGUUAUACAGAAGAUAAAUUUAUAACAUUUAAACCAAUUAAUAAAUAUGAAGAAUGUAUACUACUGUUAUGAAUUUACAUACAUGACAUUGUUUCUUAUUUUAAAUAUUAUCAACAGGUUAUUGAAUUCUAAAUAGGAAUUUUAUGGUUCAAACUUCUAUUUUCAGCAUUUGAAUAUAUAUUAAUUAUUUAUGUGUCAUUUCCCACAGAGAGAAAAUAAGGCUUAGAUGGGUCCCUUAAGUUCAAUGUUAAUUUAAAUGCUCCUAUUUAAAUCUCCCUAU
rnacentral:lncRNA from 1 species